rnacentral:snRNA from 1 species
AUACUUCAUUACCUGCGCAGCGGU